AUUGAACGCUGGCGGCAGGCCUAACACAUGCAAGUCGAACGGUAACAGGAAGACGCUUGCUUCUUUGCUGACGAGUGGCGGACGGGUGAGUAAUGUCUGGGAAACUGCCUGAUGGAGGGGGAUAACUACUGGAAACGGUAGCUAAUACCGCAUAACGUCUCAAGACCAAAGAGGGGGACCUUCGGGCCUCUUGCCAUCGGAUUUGCCCAGAUGGGAUUAGCUAGUAGGUGGGGUAACGGCUCACCUAGGCGGCGAUCCCUAGCUGGUCUGAGAGGAUGACCAGCCACACUGGAACUGAGACACGGUCCAGACUCCUACGGGAGGCAGCAGUGGGGAAUAUUGCACAAUGGGCGCAAGCCUGAUGCAGCCAUGCCGCGUGUAUGAAGAAGGCCUUCGGGUUGUAAAGUACUUUCAGCGGGGAGGAAGGGAGUAAAGUUAAUACCUUUGCUCAUUGACGUUACCCGCAGAAGAAGCACCGGCUAACUCCGUG
rnacentral:rRNA from 1 species